rnacentral:rRNA from 2 species
CUGAACUUAAGCAUAUCAAUAAGGCGGAGGA